GGUUUGCUCUGCCAGAUAAACCUGCCGCUAAUAGCAAUCGAGCAGAUAAGACUCUCCUUUCAUCGGGACGGUGGUAAGCGUAGUAACUAUUAGCCUGGCAUAACGCGGACCUGUAAUACGAAUUUACAUCGCUGUUUAAGUAAUGCCGGGAUCACUAUAUAUGGUGCCCGGGUUUAGCUAGGGUAAGGUACACGCUUGACAACAAAAAGCGAUUUGCCUGAGAGAUGUGCGCAACCGCUGUAACUGAUGGGUCGGUCCAGCUCCUCCGGGAGGCAGCCGUAGGCAUCAUCCCAAUGGCAGAAGCCUGGCGCAACAACUCGCGUAUAUGAGGUCUUCGUUCGUAAAUCGUCUAGGGAAAAGCACGAGCUAAGUAUCUGUGGCGUCUUGGCGGUACUAAUACAGAGACCC
rnacentral:rRNA from 1 species